CCAUAGCUGAGUGGUAAAACAUCUGCUCUGCAUGCAGAAGGUCCCAAGUUCAAUCCCCAGCAUAGGGU
rnacentral:tRNA from 1 species